UCUACACCACGGAUCCCAGUCCCACGCACUCAUCAAUACAUUUUGCAUCGCCGAUAAGGGCUCAAUUGUAGCCGUCGGCAUCUAACGAGACGACGGCACCGAUUGGACGGCAACUUCAAUAUUCAAUUCCUGGCUUCCGAGCUGUCUCCUGUUUCAUCCUCUUCCUCAAGCCACUCAAGCUAAAAGGAAAAUGGCAAUAAAGUUUCUUGAUUGGUAUUUGAAGAUUGCAGCUGGGUCGGCUCUAAUUGGAGGUUCCAUGGAGUUAUUCAUGAUCAAGACUGGUUUCUAUGACAAGGUAACUGUUCUGGAGUCGGAGAAGCGAGCUUGGGAGAAUUCCCCUGAAGCUCAAGCAAUGAGAGAAGAAUUGAAUCCUUGGAGAAAUCAUGAUGCACAAGAAAGAAAGAGUUCCUAGUGGAGCCACAUGGAGGAACGGGUUUUCGAUGUUGUUUGAUUUGUUUUGAAUAAUAGAUGUCCGAAGCACGAAGCUUGGGAUACAACUUCAUACGUUUACCGGCAUCGAGAUCUAUCCGAUCCUCCCGAGCUUUUAUACCCGUCUUUUAGGUGAGUUUUAUUUAUUUAUAGGCCAAAUUUCAGAAUGAAUAGUCGUGAAAGCUUGAUUUAUGUGCCACUUUCUUCAACUUUGUGGCCGUGAUCAUCAUCCUAGAGAUACCAGUUCUUGACUCGUAUUCACAUCAGAUAAAAUAUAAGAAUCCGAAAUUCGUAGAA